AUGUCCCACCAGCGCCCAUGCACGUUACAAGUUUGGGGAGCAUUUUAUAACUGCACUUUAAUCUUCUGCCUACAGCGAAUGUCUUCUGGUAAAGGUUUGGCAGGUGAUGAUCAUUUUCGUAGAAAAAUCUUCAACCAGAGAACCACCAAACCUCUCCACCUGAGAAAGCUUAGAAAGGCCCAUUACGCUACAGUCUCUAGGCUCCCAGAACCCCAAACGUCCAAGAGUAAGGAGACUCAUCCAGGGAACACAUGUGUAAUGCCCCGCCUCGGAAGUGGAAAUGGCAGGUGUAAGCUGCCCAUCAGCGGGGUCCUGUACACAGGGCAGAAGUGUCCGCAGGAAACGCGGCGCCAGCGACCCCCGCCCGAGACGAACCAAGGCCAGCCUCUUCCUCUGAUUCUGGCCCGGGCCUGCCCCCCCCGGGAGUUCACAACCCGGCAAACGCAGGUCCUACCUGAGCUCUGCCCCCAGCUACAGGGCUGUGGGGGGAGGCGGGAGGAGGCGUGGCCUUCCAGCUCGCCAGCCGAACUCCCUCGUGCGGUUGUUACGACUUUCCCUCUCCGGAUCCGCGCCCCGAACAAGUUCCACUUGCACUUCCGGGGUCCGCAGGCGAUUGAAACGUCAUUGCGCACACGUCGGCGGCGGCCGCGACAAGACGGAAGGAGGCGGGGCGUGGUCGCUGGGUCGGUUGUUGUGGCGGUUUCCUGGAAUAAGAAUUCAUUGGAAGAAAGCAUUACUGUGUGGAAGUUUGAAAGCCGUUAUCAGUAUUCUCUGCCGAUAGCAAAGGCUCUCUAGUCGGCAACUAUCAGAGCAAAUUCUGUCUCUCCACUCUGUGGUUCUAGGCCCACUGUAGCCACCAGGGAACAGUUCAACUGAAAUGACCCAUCAACUCCAUUCCUGUUGUUAUUCUUAAAACUUCCUGGCACAGCAUCAGAUACCUGCAUGAAGGAAAAGCUUCUUCAGCCUUCCCUCUCUAUUUGGCUUCAAGGUAACCAAUUCAGCUUAUAAAUUUUAUUGCCUAAGGUGAAACAUCCUGAGCCUGUGUACCUCUUAACUGUACCAAUGCUUACCAGGUUAGAGUUAAAAACAGUAUACAUCACAACACAAUUCAUAUGUGCAGUAACUUUAUUUUCUAUAAAUGAUCUCAUCUUGUUCUAUAGCUCUUAAUUUUGCUAAGGUAAAUUUUACCAGGUAAAGUUAACCUUUUCCAAUUAAAAUUGUUUCUCUGUUAUAUGUUUACUCAAUCCAAUGAAUAAACUUUCCAUCAGGAAUAUAAAUCAUUUGACAUUUGGCCCCCUUUCUACCUCUUAAUUCUUGAGAUAGUGUUGGGUGUAGGGGAAACUUAUGUGUCCUUAUGGAUGUGGGGCAAGAAGCCUCUGUGCCUAUGCUGGGUUCUUGUUAGAACCCAAAAGACAUUGAGGUAAAAAAAAAAAGUCAUUGAGGUGACUUUUCUCCUCUCCUGUUACUGGGAAUCCUACAGUAGGGUACAUUGAGGUAUGGGCUGGUCUGUCUCAUCUGGUAUUUUGGCCAUUAUCUUAGUGCUCCUCACUACUCUCCAGUAGCACAGCCAUUUGCUUCUAGUUAUGAGGGACCUUCAAUCUGUGGUCUUUGUCUCAUGACACCAAUCCUGGGACUAAAACACUCAUUGAUGGAAUGUUUCCAACAAUACAUCUCAAUUGUAUUCAAAGUGCAUUAUGGUUCUUAGAUUAAUUCUUUAAGAAUAUUAAAUAUUGCCCACUACUACUCAUACCAAACAGUGUCAACAAAAGAUCGUAAAUUCCAAGCAUGAGAGAAUUUGUUUGCCAAAAUAGAGAACUUAUAUUCUUAUAGACAUACACACACAAAAAAAUCAUGGCCUUUUACCUUAACAUCAUACACAAAAAGUUCAAAAUGGGUCAUAGACCUAAAUAUAAAUGGUAAAGUAAUAAAGCUUCUAGGAGAAAACAGGGGAAUAACUUCAUGUUCUUGGGAAAGGCAAAAAUUUCGUAAACAGGGUAGAAAAAAAAAAUGAACCAUAAAAGAAAAGAUUGGUGGGCUUCCCUGGUGGCGCAGUGGUUGAGAGUCCGCCUGCCGAUGCAGGGGACACAGGUUUGUGCCCCGGUCCAAGAAGGUCCCACAUGCCGCAGAGCGGCUGGGCCCGUGAGCCAUGGCCACUGAGCCUGCACGUCCAGAGCCUGUGCUCCGCAACGGGAGAGGCCACAACAGUGAGAGGACCGCGUACCAAAAAAAAAAAAAAAAAAAAGAAAGAAAAGAUUGGUAAGUUGGACCACACAAAAAAAUUGUCUUUCCUAGUGUGGAAACACUGCCUUAUGUGCAGGGCAAAGGUGAUCCGGGCUCCAGUAUUUUCAAUGCACCACACCUAAGAUAGAGCCUCCAUUCCAUUAGUUGUGUGGGGGCGUGCUGGAAGAGUCCUCACCUCUUGUUUCCCUUGCCAAGGACUCAGCCUCUGCACUAGGUGGUUGACGAUGGGAUGAAAAAUGUUGAAUGUUGCUCCUCACACAUGUAGAAGGUUCUCAGAUUGGGAAUUUGGGAGAGAGGGAACCCCAUGUUAUUGGCUGCAGCCCUCCAGAAUGGAGCCUCUGCCUUGCUUGAAGCAGAGAGGGAGAGAGCAGUGUUAGUUUAAAUACCACACACUCUAGCCCUUUUUUUACCAAAUUUUCAUAGAUUUUCUGGAAUAGUUGUUUCUUGAUGUGCUCUUUGCCUUCUGAACCAUUUUCAGAGCCUUUAAAUGGUGUUUGUUUGUUCAUUUGUUCUUUUAACUUUUCAUUUCGGGAGCAGGUCAGUAGACUUUUUUACACUGUCAUGCUGGAAGUCAGUACAGGGGUGCAAUUUUGAACAUAUAGAUUCUCAAUUCAUUUCUAAUCUAUUUAUUUUACUUUUGAG
ensembl:lncRNA